UACAGAGGGUGCAAGCGUUUGUUCGGAAUUAUUGGGCGUAAAGCGCGUGUAGGCGGCUUUGCAAGUCGGGUGUGAAAGCCCUCAGCUCAACUGAGGAAGUGCGCCCGAAACUGCAGAGCUUGAGUGCCGGAGAGGGAUGCGGAAUUCCAGGUGUAGCGGUGAAAUGCGUAGAUAUCUGGAGGAACACCGGUGGCGAAGGCGGCAUCCUGGACCGACACUGACGCUGAGGAGCGAAAGCCAGGGGAGCAAAGCGG
rnacentral:rRNA from 1 species